rnacentral:pre_miRNA from 1 species
AGUGGAAUAGCUGGGUCAAAUGGUGGUUCCAUUCCCUGUUUUCCAAGGAUUCUCCAUACUGCUUUUCAUGUUGGCUGCACCAAUUGCAGUCCCAUCAGCAAU